rnacentral:pre_miRNA from 14 species
AAUUUCGAGUCCAAGAGUCCUGAGGCUGAUUUGUCUACUGAAAGACCCCCGGAGCAGGGAGACCCUCACUCAAGACUUGGGAUGAUGCGACCCCCCAAGAACUCACGUGAGACU